CGGACGGGUGAGUAACGCGUGGGCAACCUACCCUGUACACACGGAUAACAUACCGAAAGGUAUGCUAAUACAGGAUAAUAUAUUUGAGAGGCACCUCUUGAAUAUCAAAGGUGAGCCAGUACAGGAUGGACCCGCGUCUGAUUAGCUAGUUGGUAAGGUAACGGCUUACCAAGGCGACGAUCAGUAGCCGACCUGAGAGGGUGAUCGGCCACAUUGGAACUGAGACACGGUCCAA
rnacentral:rRNA from 1 species